AUGUUCAGCGAUUUUCUACAUGUAGCAGUAACAUUAUUUAAAUGCUUUGACCACCGUAAUUCCCUGUCAAAGGUAAGCCCGAGAAACUUGACUUCCUGAACAACACUGAUUACACGAUCAUUCAUUAGUAGCACAGGAUCAUAGUGCGGUCUACGGAGUCGGCAAAAGUGGACAACCUUUGUCUUUUCCUCCGACAGCACAAACCCGACCGCAUUGGCGUUACUACAGAUUUUGUUUAUGGCCACUUGUAGACUUCGAGUUAUUGCACCGACAGUCUUACCAGAACAACAAACCAUUAAAUCAUCAACAUACAAACAUUUAUCAAUCAUCCCCUCAACACCUUUAGCUAUUUCGUUUAUGGCGAUGCCAAACGGGGAACAGCUAAGUGUUGACCCCUGCGGCACACCAUUUUCUAAAACAUACUCUUUUGAGUGGAUGUCACCGAUUCUUACAACAAACUUUCUGUUCUCUAGAAAGGAUUGUAUAAAUUUUGGUAACUUCCCUCGAAGAUUGUAUUUAUACAUAUUCUGCAAUAUUCCAUAUCACCAAGUCAUGUCGUAAGCGCCCUUUAUAUCAAAGAAAACCGCAAGCAGGUGUUCACCACUGUCAAAUGCACUCAGAAUUCUAUCGGUCAAUUUGACCAAAUGGUCAGCCGUUGCCCGUCCCUUCCGAAAACCCGUUUGAUAAGUUUUCCCAAGCAAGACGUUAAACUAAUUGGGCGAUAACUUUGUGCCAGCAACGGAUCUUUUCCAGGUUUCGGUAUAGGAAUGACAACGGCCUGUUUCCAUUCCGAGGGGAGUACAGUGAUGAAACAUCUGGUUGUGGAUUUCGUCUUCUCCCGGUGAACAUAACUUGGUGUUACGGAUAGCGAUAU